GAGAGUAUAGGUCAAGUGGUAGAGCCCAUGCUUAGCAUGCAUGAGGUCCUGGGUUCAAUCCCCAGUACUGCCU
rnacentral:tRNA from 1 species